AUACUUACCUAGUAGGGGAGUUACCAUGAACAUAAAAGUGGUUUCCCCAGGGCAAGGCUUAUCUAUUGCUCUACAGAUGUGCUGACCCCUGUGAAUUUCCCAAAUGUGGAAAAUCUACUGCUUAAUUUGUGAUAGUGAAGGACUGCAUUUGUACUCUCCCCUG